AACCUUGCGCAAUGGCAAUAUCGCAAUACCAAUGAAGGCCUCCUGAGGUGCGAUUAUUGCUAGUUGAAAACUUUUACCAAUACCCCUCCAUGAAGCCUUGAAACAAGACCUGCGAAGCUAACAUGUAUUGUUGGUUUAGUGGGUUCGAUUCCCUAUCUCUAGG
rnacentral:snRNA from 1 species